CCAGCUAAGGUGGAAGUGUAGGUAAACAUGCUUCACCUCUGCACACAACUACAGCAAAAAAAUUACAAUGAGAAUACAAAACAUAUUUCACCCAGAUUUGUCAGAAAAUCGAGCUGUAGGGCAGUCUGACAACUAAGGAUUUAAAGGAGACACAUUCAUCCAGACAGGUGCCUUUUCUAUACAACAGGCCACACUACUAAGACAGGGAGUCAGGGCAGCUCUGCCUAAGACACAGAAGCAAACAUAGGGAGGCUGCCUAAUUGAGGAGACAAAGAAAUAUGGCUUAAAUGGAAGAACA